rnacentral:lncRNA from 1 species
AAUAAACUCUAUUACUCCUAUAAGUAGCAUUUUAUUAAACACCUUUGCACAUAGGUAUUUAAUGUGUGGGCAGCACUUAAGCUAUGCUGUGGAUAGGUUUCGUGGGGUGAGACUAGUAAAUUAAGGGACAUGUGCAAUUUUGAGAGAUAUUAAUAGGAUUUACCAUGGGUUGAAACAGUUCAUUUUUUCAACAGCAACAUAUAGCAAAUAGAUUUACUUUAAUACCCCUUAAUACCCCUUAGCAGUAAAUAUUCCCACUCACCUUUCCAUAUUUGCCAAUCUAAUGACUGUAGUGUGAGAGCUUCCAGUUAUGUGCUGGAUUGCUUCAUAACUUCAAAAAGGAUUCUAAUAAAAAUUCUCCAGACUAGAGAGGCCUUUGCCGACUGACAUAUUUGUAGAUGUUAACCUCACCCAUUAUCUUUAUCCCCCAUGUCUUUAUCUUGUAUUGUAAAUACUGUACCACUUUUCCUCACUGAAUAUAUUUUUAUGUGUAUGCUGUCUGCUCUACCCGUACCUAAAUUUAUAAGCUUUAUGACAGCAUUGACUUGUUCUUUUUGUUUAUUAAAUACUUGGCACUCAGAAUUGAGUAAACAAUUAAUUUUUUUUUUAUUUUUCAGUGUAUUGGUGAACAUUUUUUAUUUUUUCAGUGAUUGUUUGGCUUUUCUUUCCUUUGAACUGCUUAUUUAUAUUAUUUAGCCAUAUUUGUAGUUGUUUUAUCAAUUUUGAAGUGUUUUGACAUAACAUAGGUAUUAAUAUCUUGUUUAAAUAUUAAUACAGUUCUCAUUUUUUAAAUUUACUUAUAGGCAUAAC